GACGAACGCUGGCGGCGUGCCUAAUACAUGCAAGUCGAGCGAGUCUGCCUUGAAGAUCGGAGUGCUUGCACUCUGUGAAGCAAGAUACAGGCUAGCGGCGGACGGGUGAGUAACACGUGGGUAACCUGCCCAAGAGAUCGGGAUAACACCUGGAAACAGAUGCUAAUACCGGAUAACAACAGAUGAUGCCUAUCAACUGUUUAAAAGAUGGUUCUGCUAUCACUCUUGGAUGGACCUGCGGUGCAUUAGCUAGUUGGUAGGGUAACGGCCUACCAAGGCGAUGAUGCAUAGCCGAGUUGAGAGACUGAUCGGCCACAUUGGGACUGAGACACGGCCCAAACUCCUACGGGAGGCAGCAGUAGGGAAUCUUCCACAAUGGACGCAAGUCUGAUGGAGCAACGCCGCGUGAGUGAAGAAGGGUUUCGGCUCGUAAAGCUCUGUUGUUGGUGAAGAAGGACAGGGGUAGUAACUGACCUUUGUUUGACGGUAAUCAAUUAGAAAGUCACGGCUAACUACGUG
rnacentral:rRNA from 1 species